rnacentral:lncRNA from 1 species
CUGAUGAACUGGGCAUCAAGUUCAUGGAAAGCCGUGAGACUUACCAGAGAAAGGUGCUGUCCAUCUUCAGCAUUGCCUCAGGGAUCUGUUUUCUCGGAGUGGCAUGCAUGGCUCUCUAUCGCAGCAACAAGAGACACAAGGAAAAGCUCCGGGCACACUUCUUGGAGAGCCGGAAUCUGAGGGUGUGCAGUAUCAAUGCCUCUGGGUUCAUGUCUAAAUCCAGCCCAAGGCCUCAGUGUGGCUGGCAGCUUCAAAAGGUGAGACAAGGAACCAGCAUUUUAUUCAAUUAUUAAUGGGACUUGAGAUAAUUGAAUAUCUCUUGAGAUAAUUGAAUAUGUUGUAUUAUUAUUUGGAACACUACUCCUCUUACACCGUUAAAGCUAGAAAUGUAAUUCAUAACUUUAAAACAUGCAGACCAGGGAACUUGUAUAAAACAUUUAUACUAUUCAAACUAUUCCAUUUUUUGUCCGUCUUUAAAAACCUCAUCCACUAAUGGGAUUAAUUAAAAAUAAUUCUGAAGGUCCCAUUGUGACAUCAUGACUUCCAACAUUCUAUUCACUGUAAAACGUCUGACAUUACUUUUGACACAAAUCAGCUACAUUGACCGCUUUCCCAGCAAUUUAGACAAAAACUUAGAGCAGUUUCCCAACUGGCGGCAUGCGGGCCGAACUUUUGUUGCAUAGGUCGUUUUAUUUGGCCCACCAAGUUUCCUGGGGGGAAAAAAAUCAAUUUUUUGGUGUGCUUUUUCAUUAUUUGACUUAAAAGACUGUAAAAAUACCAGGAAAUCAGCUCCAAGUGAUUUUAAUUGAUUAAAUCUGUUCUCAAGUAUUCCCACGCAUACUACAGAGACAAAUUAAUCGAGUUGAUGAUCCCUGACAGAGGUGAUGACAUCUUGAAUUACUUCUCUACUUUUCAAAUCUAAAAUCAGAACAGAAAUACCUCCAACCAAUCAAACGACGUAGCUAUUUUAGUAACCUCAUCAAUAAAAUAUCUGUCAUCUUUUACAAACAACUGACAUUUUUAACACUUGAAAAAACUAUGAAAUCUUAGUCUACUUCACUGCUCAAACCGUUUCUUCCCAGUCAGAGUUUUUUUCACUGUACCGUUUACACCUUCUGUGCAUGUGACAAAUAAACAUACAGUGGGGAGAACAAGUAUUUGAUACCCUGCCUAUUUUGCAGUUUUUCCUUCUUACAAAGCAUGUAGAGGUCUGUAAUUUUUUUAUCAUAGGUACACUUGUGAGGUAGGUAGUUUAUCAUAGGUACACUGUGAGAGACAGAAUCUAAAACAAAAAUCCAGAAAAUCACAUUGUAUGAUUUUUAAGCAAUGCAUUUGCAUUUUACUGCAUGACAUAAGUAUUUGAUUACCUACCAACCAGUAAGCCCUCCUGAUCUCGCCUCAUUACCUGUAUUAACUGCCCUGCUUGAACUCGUUACCUGUAUAAAAGACACCUGUCCACACACUCAAUCUAAAAGACUCCAACCUCUCCACAAUGGCCAAGACCAGAGAGCUGUGUAAGGUCAUCAAGUAUAAAAUUGUAGACCUGCACAAGGCUGGGAUGGGCUACAGGACAAUAGGCAAGCAGCUUGGGGAGAAGGCAGCAACUUUUAGUGCAAUUAUUAGAAAAUGGAAGAAGUUCAAGAUGACGGUCAAUCACCCUCGGUCAUACAAUGUGAUUUUCUGGAUUUUUGUUAUAGAUUCCGUCUCUCACAGUUGAAGUUUACCUAUGAUAAACAAUUACAGACCUCUACAUGCUUUGUAAGUAGGAAAACCUGCAAUAUCGGCAGUGUAUCAAAUACUUGUUCUCCUCACUGUACAUGUUAUUUGAUACAAUGUGUGUUUACUGGAGUGGAUAAUGUGAAGAAUUAGGAUAAAGGCCAAGGACCAGAGUGUUCAUUUUUUACUACUACUUACUUUGCUACUACUUUCACCACUUUUAGUCUUGAAAUAUUUGCUUGUUAACUACACUGUGAAUCCUGGAAUAGAUGGGUGGGGCAAAGGCUUAGGAGGGUGUGACCGAUGCUAAAUGUAUAAGAAUCGACACUGGAGAGAGGAAGCAGGUACAGGGAGGGAACAUUGAAUUAAACACGGGCAUGAAACAGAACAGGAACAGCAUAUGGACAUGGGAAAAAUAACGACAUCAAUGCUGACACAGGAAACAAAGUGAGGAGCUGUUAGAUUAAUUUAGUUUUUAUGGGUUCAUUAACCAAUUCAAUUUAACAUUCUCUGUCCGUUUCUAAGAAUUUGUAAGAUCAUUAUUUGCAUGAAAUGGACAGAGACCAGUCAACUGAAAUUAGCCAAUAGCAUUUAUUCUCGAGAGCGCUGGUCAUAAUACAAUGUACAUUGGUUUAUAUACCACACAUUUCAUCAUAGCGUCUUGAAGGCUCCUCCUUCUCUCCGACAAGGAAAAAUCUACUUCUAAAGUCCAUUCCAACCCACUAGCGCACGUACACGACACACUAAAUCUGGAUUAACUCCUGACGUCUCACCACAGUUUAUUACCACUUAGCAGAUAGUUCCAGUCCACCCCCAGAUACGGAAAACCUGGAGAGGCUCUCGCUGUCUUAUUUUAUCGCCACAGAGUUAUAGCUGAGUCGGUUCAAACAUAGGUUAAGGACCCUCUUUGUUUUCGUUAGGCACACACAUGUAUUCCUCUCUUCUCCCCUCCAACCUAGUUGGAGCUGUUUUUAUUAUUUUUAAUUACUCCUUGUUCAUGCUACAUAACCUCUAAUCCCUAAUGGUGAAGUUUCUGAGUAGAAUUAUUUAACCAUUUAUCUUAAACCUUGAUAAAAUAUCUUAACAAUCCACCCUUAAUGACUAAAUAAUUCAUACUGACAUAUCAAACACUAUAUGGAAACAUGAAUUUUUAUACAAGAAUAUACCAAAACAAUACAUGUAUUUACAUUCAAUUCCUCAUCAAUGACUGUUCUACUCCUAUAUCCAAUUAUAACUCUUCCGGUUUAGGAUCUUCAUCAUAAUCUUCAUGAAAUGAACAGCCUUUAACUUUUUAUAACUAGGGGGCGCUAUUUUAAUUUUUGGAUGAAAAACGUUCCCGUUUGUCACGAAAAGAUGCUCGACUAUGCAUAUAAUUGACAGCUUUGGAAAGAAAACACUCUGACGUUUCCAAAACUGCAAAGAUAUUGUCUGUGAGUGCCACAGAACUAAUGUUACAGAAAAAACCCAGAUAAAAAUCCAAUCAGGAAGUGCUGCAUUUUUUGAAACCGCCUCAUGGCAAUGACUCCUUAUAUGGCUGUGGAGGAGCUAGGAGUCAGCUUACAUUUUCCACGUUUUCCCCAAGGUGUCUGCAGCAUUGUGACGUAUUUGUAGGCAUAUCAUUGGAAGAUUGACAAUAAGAGACUACAUCUACCAGGUGGUCGUUUGGUGUCCUCCGUCGCAAUUAUUGCGUAAUCUCCAGCUGCAGUAUUUUUCCGUUUGCCUCUGAUGAGAAACCAUCUGCCACAAAUGAUUUUUCAUCUAAUAGAAUUGUGAAAAACACCUUGAGGAUUAAUUCUAAACAACGUUUGCCAUGUGUCUGUCGAUAUUAUGGAGCUAAUUUGGAAAAAAGUUCGGCGUUGUAGUGACUGCAUUUUCAUUUUUUUUUCUUAGCCAAACGGAGCUAUUUCUCUUACACAAAUAAUAUUUUUGGAAAAAAUGAACAUUUGCUAUCUGACUGAGAGUCUCGUCAUUGAAAACAUCCGAAGUUCUUCAAAGGUAAAUUAUUUUAUUUGAAUGCUUUUCUUGUUUUUGUGAAAAUGUUGCCUGCUGAAUGCUAGGCUUAAUGCUAUGCUAGGCUAUCAAUAUUCUUACACAAAUGCUUGUGUAGCAUUGGUUGAAAAGCAUAUUUUGAAAAUCUGAGAUGACAGUGUUGUUAACAAAAGGCUAAGCUUGUGUUUCAAUAUAUUUAUUUCAUUACAUUUGCGAUUUUCAUGAAUAGGAAACGUUGCGUUAUGGUAAUGAGCUUGAGGGUAUGAUUACACUCCCGGAUACGGGUUUGGAGUCGCAAGAAGUUAAUAAAACAUUGAAAAAAGUCUCAUCCAACAUUGGCUCCUCAUAUUUGAAAGACACAGAGCCUUCUCCUAGGCCUGGAAGUCUGUAUUCUUCAUCCCACUAGUCAGAGCUCGGAAUCUGUCCGUAUCUCACCAUCUAUUCCGUCAUCGAUUUCUCCAGAGUCCUAGAAAUGAGAACCUCUCUCACAACAUCUUCACAAAACUAACACAGUCACACAGGUGAAGGUUGUGCAAAACACAGUGAUCAUGACAUUUUUUCAUUUCCCAGACACACUAUCAAACCAAUUUGUUAGAGCAUUAUCUACCCCAGAGUUAUCUGCCAGGGCCCUGGUCACUGAUCCAUCUGAAGCUGUGUUAUUGGGGAUGAAAUUACAACAUUCUGCUCCGAACCUCAUUCAACCCCCACCCUUUUUAGCUAGUAACAUAUCCAAGGCUAUUCUACUCUGCCAAGCCAUUAGGCUGGUCGCUUCAGUCUGCUCUGCCAAUCCUUUUAUUGUAUCUCUGGUAUAAUUGAUGAAGCGCUGUUGAUUAUAAUAAAUAUAAUUGAUCCAGUCCACAUUCUCAUUGAGAGUGGACCACCAGAAAACACUUCACUCUAAUCCUGCUAAGAUCUGAUUUCUUACUCUGAACUCGUCUGGCAACCCCCCCCCCCCCCCCCCCUCAAUCUGAUUAUAUAGUUAACAUACUCUGUCCAUUUCUAAGAAUUUGUAAGGUCAUUAUUUGCAUAAAAUGGACAGAGACCAGUCAACCCAAAAUUAGCCAAU